AUGCUAAUGAGGGGCCACGGAAGCCACGCCCACCUGCCCUCGUUUUCCCGCCAUUUUGUGCCUGAGUCCGCCCACUCCCCCACUUUGUUCCCGCUGUUCUCCUACGAGGACUGCGAGGAGCAGGUGACCUUCGGCUGCUUGGCCUCCGGCUUCUUCCCGCUGCCGGCCGAGAUCUCCUGGGACAGCGCGGCCAACGGCCACUCCAGGACCUUCCCGCCCUGCCCACGGCGCAGGUGGAGGAAAAGACGUUCCAGUGCCGGGGUGCAGCACCGGGGCAGCAGCUUCACCAAGGACAUCAAAGGUGAAGAUUCCUGCUGUCGCAUACCCAGCUUCUCCGUGUCCCUCCUGAGCGACCCCAACCUGGCCCACCCCGACGAGGACAAGGUGUUCCUGCUGUGCCAGGUGCGCGGCCACGGCGCCGAAGACGUCACCGUCACCUGGCUGGUCAACAACGUCACCACCCAGCUGCCGGCCACCACCUCCACCUGCCGCGAGGACGGCGACGGCUCGCUGACCCUCAGUAGCCACGCCAACGUCACCCGCAGCCAGUGGAACGGGGGGGCCACCUACACCUGCCAGGCGCAGCACCCGCGGGUGAAAAAGCCCCAGGAGGCCUCCAUCAGCACCUACUGCUCAGGCCCCAAGCCCUCCCCCUCGCUGGCGCUGCUGCCCGCCGUCCCUGAGCGACCUGUACCUGUCGGCGAGCCCCAACCUCACCUGCGUGGCCACCAACCUCAAGUCGCCCGAGGCCAAGUUCACCUGGAGCCGCUCGUCGGGCGCGCCGGCCGAGGUGGUGGCCGGCGGCCACCAGGAGCUGCCCAACGGGCUCUUCGCGGUGCGGAGCUUCCUGCGCAUCUGCGCCGAGGACUGGAACGCCGGCGAGGAGUUCACCUGCACCGUCACCGUGACCGACCUGGGCGCGGCCGAGCCGCUGCGCCGCAGCGUGCGCAAGGACACCGCCGUCGCCGCCGUGGCUCCCAAGGUCUUCGUCUUCCCGCCGCCGCCGGAGGAGCUGGCGCUGCAGGAGACGGCCACGCUCACCUGCCUGGCCAGCGGCUUCUCGCCGCGGGACAUCCUCAUCACCUGGACUCACCAGGACGCGCCGGUGGCCGCGGGCCAGUACUCCGUCUUCGGCCCCCGAGAGCGACGGCGCCGCCGGCACCUUCUCGGCCUACUCCAAGCUGGCCGUGCCGGCCGAGCAGUGGCGGCGCGGCGACGUCUUCACCUGCGUGGUCGGCCACGACGGCGCGGCCAUGAAGUUCGUCCAGCGGAGCUUGGACCGCUCGGGCGCCGCGCGGCCGGCCAACGUCAACGUCUCCGUGGUGCUGGCGGACUCGGACGUCGUCUGCUACUGAGGGCUCGGCGCGGGAGUGGGGCGGCAAUAAAGCGGAGAGGAAAGAGAAA